GGACCCGCCAGGGAGGCAGCUGGAUGCUAAUUGAUAUUCUGCCCGGGACUGCUUGGAAUGGAAUAAAAUAUUUAUCUGUGGCUGGAGGUUUGCAGAGGACAUUUAAGAUGGAUCGCGUUUUCAUGUGCCUAUGAAAUCUAAUUGGAUUCAUUGUAGGAUAUUUGGUUUCUUGGAACAGGCAUAUCAUUUUCUCAGGGAGCGGCAGCCUCUGCCGCCCAGGAUUGGAUGGGUGCUGUUUUGGCCUCAGGCUGCCCAAUUGGCCGGGGCCAGGUUAGGUCUCUGGUUGCUGGGUCUGACUGGCCUCUCUAUGGGAUGGCCUGAUUUCCUCUGAGGUUCCCAGCCACAGAAAGCCAGUUCUUCCGGCAAAGGGAGGAAUUCCUCAAGAAAGCACAUUGCCCCUCACCUCUGAUUCCCCUCUGGCCCCCCCAGCGCCCAGUGACAGCUGCCUGGUGGCCUCCAAAACAUCUCAAAACUCCGCACCUGGUUUUCAUCGCCAUUGCCACAGCCACCCCCUCCUUCACUCCCAUUCCCCUGUUCCAGGCACGUCACUGGUCUUCUGCCCCCAGAUUCCCCCCACUCCAGAGUGCGAAAGAUCUUCCUAAAGUAU
rnacentral:lncRNA from 1 species